rnacentral:rRNA from 1 species
GGAAUGGCUCUUUCGAUUGAGCGGCUAGGUCUCUGCGCAGAGUUCCAGAUGAGUGCGGCCGCUGCGAUGUUCUUCAUCGGAUAUCAUGGCGACAGCAAAUGCCUUGUGAAUGUGUAGUGAUUGGUUCGUCGCCNCNUGCCGCAACGAACAAUUUCCUCUGAACU